UCUGAUUUACUUCACUUAGAAUGACCAUCUCCAGUGGCUCUGAUGGGGGCGUCAAGGGGCGCGUGGUAACGAGCUGGGUCUGCACUGAGCUGAUGCUCUGGGAUGCGCAACCUCGUGGCUGGUGGCUGGUGGCUGGUGACUGUUGGCAAACGUGACCGUUGGCAAAAGGACCCAGGACCCUGGACACACAGACGGGCUCCUGAGGCUGGAGGAGCACAGAUCCUGCUCCAGCUGCUGGACCCCUGGUGCCGACGCUGACCCCUCUCCACGCGCUGCCUCUGCCUGACCCUCCUUCCCGUGGGUUUACUGCGCGCCUCCCGCGCUGCGAUAAAUGCCUUGUUGAUCAGCACCGUCUCGUGCUCUGCUUUGUAAAAUCCAGCAAUAACGGUAGCAGCCCCCACAGGUGGCGCACCAGGCCCACCCACGAAUCCGUCCCGCCCUCAUCGCGGCGGGGGACAGGCCCCGCGUCGCUGCGUGUUUGCUGCGUGCCGGGCGGUUUGAUGGUGUCCUCAGAUCCACCGAGGGCCGAGAGUUCUUGUUCUCCUUUUAUAGAGGAGCAAACACAGAAGUUGACUGGGGUGUGGCCAAGCCGGAGUCAGUGGAGGAGGAGGAGGACUUGAAGGUACCAGGUCCUCGGCGCAGAACGGCAGACCGCCCGUCCCCCUGGGGCCUGCGGACACCCACAUCUGUGUGGCUGAGCUGUGCGGCCGGGCAGAGAGCGUGGUGAACUGAGGCACGUGCUCUGCUCAGGUAUUUGUUGGGGGCUGAAUUAUGCCCCCCAAAGUUGUAUGUUGAGGUCUUAAUUCUGGUAUUUCAGAAUGUAAAUGUACUUGGAAAUGGAGUCCUGAUGUAAUCAGCAGAUAUGAUCAGUUAAGGGGCGGUCAGGCCGGAGUAGGGUGGCCCUAAUCCCGGUGACUGCUAUCCUUGUGAGAGAGGGAAAUUCGGACGGGCCCUUCCCACGGGGAAAGCGCCACAUGGGCGUGAAGGCAGAGCAAGGACGAACAGCCAAGCCCCGGAGGCUGGAGUGGGCCGGCCCGCCUCCCCCGCAUGGCCCCAGGAGGAGCCGGCCCUGCCCGCAUCUUCGUCUCGGACUUCCGGCCUCCGGAACACAUUUCUGCCGUGUAGGCCCCUCAGUCUGAGGUGCUGUGUCAUGACAGCCCUAGCAGACCAAUGUAGUGUUCGCAUUCAGGUCCUCAGAGACACUGGUUCCUCCAAACCCAGCAGCCCGUGAUCCGUGCAUGGUCAAAGCCGGGCCGCUUCGUGGAAACGUCCGUGAACUUCCUCCCCGCACUGACCAGCCAUCUGGGGGUGGAGGGCUCCCCUUAUUUGCCUAACCACGCUUGGAAAAGAGGGGGAGGAACGUUGCUUAAACCUGGAACAGGUAUCUUCCUUCCCUUGGCCAGCAUCUGGUGCCUUUUGAAUGAUCACGAUGACACCGGCUGGUGUGAGCGCUUACUCUGCCGGGCGUGAGUCUAAAGGCCUUCUGUGAUCAGCUCCUCUAAUUCUGACAAUGACUUGUGAAUUGCUGCUGUCAUGCUCUGUUUUUCCACUUGGGGGCCUGAAGCUUGAACAAGGACUUGCUGACCAGUGCAUACGGCAUAAACAAUGUUGAUUUUAAUUUUUGCACUUGAAAAGCCCCACGGAUUAGUGUUUUGUUUUUGUUUUCCUUAUUCAGAUAAAAUAAUUCUGGCCCUUGUCUCUUGUAUUUGGUUGGGGGGAUUUGGCAUCUCAUUGAUAUUUUGAUGGUUUUGUGGACAGUGGGGAAUAUACGCUUACAUUUUUCCAUGCAUGAAAGUUGAAACCUCUUACUUAUUUUAAAAUUCGGGAUGGUGACAGAAAGGAAGCUGGAUAUAGACAAAUCAUUUAAGAACCCAGAGGCAGCUCAGGUCAUCUGCCAUAUUUAUUACAGUCUUCAGCAUCUUGUCCCAGCAAAAAUGUAAGCUACACUUUACGUAGCGAGGUAUUGUUCACAUUUGGAAUAAGGGAUGGGUUUGCCAGGAAGCUGAUGGGGGUGCUGAUCUAGAAUAUAUAUUUAGACAAUAUUUAAACAACCCAGAAACAUAGUACUUGUUUCUUGGUAUCCUGACACAAUGAACAAAAUGUAAAUUAUUAGCCCCAUUCAUGCAAAAAUAGAUUUCACUAAAAAUUCAUUGCCAUCAAUUCUAAAUAGGGUAAGAUGUUAGAUUACACUCAAGGCUUAUUGAACAUCUUAUUUUGAAUAUAAAGAGAUAUGAAUGUUUACCCAUAGAAAAGUCAUUUCUUCCCACCUUUGCUAAAUAACACGCUGGUCAAAUCUUGAAGCCUUGCUCUGCAGGGGCACCAGCGUCCUAACAUUCCUGGCAUCACCUCACUUCUCUGUCCAGCUCUGUUUUAUGUAUGAACCAGGCUGACCCCCUAGCUCUUUCUGUGUUGAUGUUUCCUCUUACCUUUCUUUUCUGAACACCUACUGCAUUCUGGGACCCCCCCAUCUCUGUUCCUCAUAUACCUGUCUUCCUAAAGCUGCUUUUGUGCCCCCGAAGAUAGCCCCAUCAACUUUCAAAUAAGGUUGCCGGAUAAAAUACAAGACAUCCAGUUAAAUGGAUACUUCUGAUGAACAACAAAUGGUUUUUUAGCAUAAGUAUGUCCCAAGCAAUAUUUAUGGCACAUCCAGAAUAUUGCAUGGGACAUACUUAUGCUAAAAAAUUAUCCAUUGUGUAUCUGAAAUUUUGUUUGCUGUAUCUGGCAACCUUGCUUGCAGAGAUAGACCUCACUAGUGGUUCUGAGUAAUUUCUUGGAAGAUAGGGGUGUGUGUGUGUGUGUGUGUGUGUGUGUGUGGUGAAACUGUAAAAUUACUGCUUGGUUGGGUACGUUAGUCUUUGGUUUAUAAUUUAACAAUAAAACCAUCUCUUUCAUUAGUGAAAACAAAAAUAUGAAUGGUCACUCCGCCGUGCAGAAUGUCUUCCCGAACAGGCCAUUACCGGACACUCGCCGUGCUUGUGAGAGGCGUUCAUCUUUCCCUGGAUUAGUGAGCACGCAGGAAGUUCACGUACAUUCUGCUUCUCCAAACCACCGGAAGCUUUCUUUUGGUUCAACCCCCACAUGCCUUCCAUUAAUUAGUACAUCACGGUGCUUAAAAGCCCUGAGCUGAAA